rnacentral:rRNA from 1 species
ACAUGCAGUCGACGAUGAAGCCCAGCUUGCUGGGUGGAUUAGUGGCGAACGGGUGAGUAACACGUGAGUAACCUGCCCUUAACUCUGGGAUAAGCCUGGGAAACUAGGUCUAAUACCGGAUAGGAGCGCCUACCGCAUGGUGGGUGUUGGAAAGAUUUAUCGGUUUUGGAUGGACUCGCGGCCUAUCAGCUUGUUGGUGAGGUAAUGGCUCACCAAGGCGACGACGGGUAGCCGGCCUGAGAGGGUGACCGGCCACACUGGGACUGAGACACGGCCCAGACUCCUACGGGAGGCAGCAGUGGGGAAUAUUGCACAAUGGGCGAAAGCCUGAUGCAGCGACGCCGCGUGAGGGAUGACGGCCUUCGGGUUGUAAACCUCUUUCAGUAGGGAAGAAGCGAAAGUGACGGUACCUGCAGAAGAAGCACCGGCUAACUACGUGCCAGCAGCCGCGGUAAUACGUAGGGUGCGAGCGUUAUCCGGAAUUAUUGGGCGUAAAGAGCUCGUAGGCGGUUUGUCGCGUCUGUCGUGAAAGUCCGGGGCUUAACCCCGGAUCUGCGGUGGGUACGGGCAGACUAGAGUGCAGUAGGGGAGACUGGAAUUCCUGGUGUAGCGGUGGAAUGCGCAGAUAUCAGGAGGAACACCGAUGGCGAAGGCAGGUCUCUGGGCUGUAACUGACGCUGAGGAGCGAAA